CCCACCCCAGAGGUGUGCAGGCAUGGCUGCUGUGUCACAUAUGCGUCAGUAGGUGGCAGAGAGGAGAAAGACUAUACUCUGUUCUCUUCUGACCUGUGAACAUCUGAAUGAUCCGUAGCCCAACAGU